ACGCUCGACACCUACGGGAGGCAGCAGUGGGGAAUAUUGCACAAUGGGGGAAACCCUGAUGCAGCGACGCCGCGUGAGUGAAGAAGUAUUUCGGUAUGUAAAGCUCUAUCAGCAGGGAAGAAGAUGACGGUACCUGAGUAAGAAGCCCCGGCUAACUACGUGCUAGCAGCCGCGGUAAUCUGAGCGGGCUGGCAAGGC
rnacentral:rRNA from 1 species